rnacentral:rRNA from 1 species
CUUACAUCUCUUCGGAGCAUUUUACGUAGGUGCUGCAUGGUUGUCGUCAGCUCGUGCCGUGAGGUGUCGGGUUAAGUCCCAUAACGAGCGCAACCCCUACCUUUAGUUGCCAUCAGGUUAAGCUGGGGACUCUAAAGGAACUGCCUACGCAAGUAGUGAGGAAGGCGGGGGAUGACGUCAAAUCAGCACGGCCCUUACGUCCAGGGCUACACACGUGCUACAAUGGCCGAUACAGAGGGCAGCUACCUGGUGACAGGAUGCAAAUCUCCAAAGUCGGUCUCAGUUCGGAUCGGAGUCUGCAACCCGACUCCGUGAAGUUGGAUUCGCUAGUAAUCGCGCAUCAGCCAUGGCGCGGUGAAUACGUUCCCGGGCCUU